UACGGGGGGAGCAAGCGUUGUUCGGAUUUACUGGGCGUAAAGGGCGCGUAGGCGGGCGCAACAAGUCACUUGUGAAAUCUCCGGGCUUAACCCGGAGCGGUCAAGUGAUACUGUCGUGCUAGAGUCCGGAAGAGGCGAGUGGAAUUCCCGGUGUAGCGGUGAAAUGCGCAGAUAUCGGGAGGAACACCAAUGGCGAAGGCAAGCUUACUACACAGUUAUUGACGCUGAGGCACGGAAAAGCGUUGGGGAGCAAACAGG
rnacentral:rRNA from 1 species